UACGUAGGGGGCAAGCGUUGUCCGGAAUCAUUGGGCGUAAAGAGCGCGUAGGCGGCCCUGUAAGUCCGCUGUGAAAGUCAAGGGCUCAACCCUUGGAUGCCGGUGGACUACUGCAGGGCUAGAGUCCGGAAGAGGCGAGUGGAAUUCCUGGUGUAGCGGUGAAAUGCGCAGAUAUCAGGAGGAACACCGAUGGCGAAGGCAGACUCGCUGGGACGGUACUGCGCUGAGGCGCGAAAGCGUGGGGAGCAAACAGGAUAGAU
rnacentral:rRNA from 1 species